rnacentral:tRNA from 2 species
AGGCCCGUAGCUCAGUUGGUUAGAGCGCUACGUUGACAUCGUAGAGGUCGGUGGUUCGAGCCCACUCGGGCCUACCA